rnacentral:rRNA from 1 species
UACGUAGGCAGCAAGCGUUGUUCGGAGUUACUGGGCGUAAAGGGUGUGUAGGCGGUUGCUUAAGUUUGGUGUGAAAUCUCCCGGCUCAACUGGGAGGGUGCGCCGAAUACUGAGUGACUCGAGUGCGGGAGAGGAAAGUGGAAUUCCUGGUGUAGCGGUGAAAUGCGUAGAUAUCAGGAGGAACACCGGUGGUGUAAACGGCUUUCUGGACCGUAACUGACGCUGAAACACGAAAGCGUGGGGAGCAAACAGG